UUCCCACUCGAGACUUUCGGAGGAGGUAAUGACCAGUUCCAUUGGUGCCUUUUGGUACUGUGGAUAGGGGUACGGUUUUCCACCGUACCGAAACCUAGCAGAGGGCCAGUCUGGUGCCAGCAGCUGCGGUAAUUCCAGCUCUGCGAGUUUGCUCCCAUAUUGUUGCAGUUAAAACGCCCGUAGUCUGAAUUGGCCAGCAAUGGUCGUACGUAUUUUUACGUUCACUGUGAACAAAUCAGGACGCUUAGAGUAUGGCCACAUGAAUGACUCAGCGCAGUAUGAAGUCUUUGUUUUCUUCCGAAAACAAGCUCAAUGAGAGCCAUCGGGGGUAGAUCUAUCUCAUGACGAGUGGUGGAAUACUUUGACUCAUGAGAGAGAAGCUGAGGCGAAGGCGUCUACCUAGAGGGUUUCUGUCGAUCAAGGGCGAGAGUAGGAGUAUCCAACAGGAUUAGAGACCCUGGUAGUUCCUACCUUAAACGAUGCCGACAGGAGUUUGUCAUUUGUUAAUGGCAGAAUCUUUGGAGAAAUCAUAGUUCUUGGGCUCUGGGGGAACUACGACCGCAAGGCUGAAACUUGAAGGAAUUGACGGAAGGGCACACCAGGGGUGGAGCCUGUGGCUUAAUUUGAAUCAACACGGGGAAACUUACCAGGACCAGAUGUUUUUUAUGACUGACAGGCUUCGGGUCUUUCAGGAUAUUGUUUUUGGUGGUGCAUGGCCGUUGGUGGUGCGUGGGUUGACCUGUCUAGCGUUGAUUCAGCUAACGAGCGAGAUUAUCGCCAAUUAUUUACUUUGCCGAAGUCCUUCGGUUAAAGUUCUAAUUGGGACUCCCUGCGAUUUUAGCAGGUGGAAGAGGGUAGCAAUAACAGGUCCGUGAUGCCCUUUAGAUGCUCUGGGCUGCACGCGUGCUACAAUGUUAGGAUCAAUACGACUGCGAGCCUGAGAGGGUGCGCUACUCUUAUAAUCCCUAACGUAGUUGGGAUUGACGUUUGUAAUCAGCGUCAUGAACCAGGAAUCCCUUGUAAAUGUGUGUCAACAACGCACGUUGAAUACGUCCCUGCCCUUUGUAC
rnacentral:ncRNA from 2 species